rnacentral:rRNA from 1 species
AUCUACCUUUACUUGGGCGUGGGUCGGGGAAACAGAAACUUACUUGAAAAACUGAGUGCUCCAAGCAAGCUAUGCUCGAUCCAUUAGCAUGAAUAAUAAAAUAGACGCGCCGUUCUUUUUUGUUGGUUCAUAGAUCGCCGUAAUGAUAAUAAGGACAGUCGGGGCAUCAGUAUCCAACCGUCAGAGGUGUAAUCUUGGAUCAGUUGAAGACUAACUACCUGCGAAAGCAUUGCCAAGGAUGUUUUCAUUAUCAGGAACGAAAGUUAGGGGUUCGAAGCGAUCAGAUACUCGUCGUAGUCUUAACCAUAAAAUUAUGCCCGACUAGGGAUCGGACGGUGUUAUUCAUGACCCCGUUCGGCACCUUACGAGAAAUCAAAAGUGCUUGGGCUCCAGGGGGAGUAUGGUCGCAAGGCUGAAAACUUAAAGAAAUUGACGGAAGGGCCCCCCCAGGGGGUGGAGCCUGCGGCUUAAUUUGACUCAACACGGGGAAACUCACCAGGUCCAGACACAAUAAGGAUUGACAGAUUGAGAGCUCUUUCUUGAUUUUGUGGGUGGUGGUGCAUGGCCGUUCUUAGUUGGUGGGGUGACUUGUCUGCUUAAUUGCGAUAACGAACGAGACCUUAACCUGCUAAAUAGCCCGCAUUGCUCCGGCAGUGCGCUGGCUUCUUAGAGGGACUUUCGGCUCAAGCCGAAGGAAGUUUGAGGCAAUAACAGGUCUGUGAUGCCCUUAGAUGUUCUGGGCCGCACGCGCGCUACACUGACGGGGUCAGCGAGUUCCUUGGCCGAAAGGCCCGGGUAAUCUUGUUAGCCCCCGUCGUGCUGGGGAUAGAGCAUUGCAAUUAUUGCUCUUCAACGAGGAAUCCCUAGUAAGCGCAAGUCAUCAGCUUGCGUUGAUUACGUCCACUGCGCCUUUGCACACACCGCCCGUC